GCCGCGGUAAUACGGAGGGUGCGAGCGUUGUCCGGAAUCACUGGGCGUAAAGGGCGCGUAGGCGGUCUGGUAAGCGUGUGGUGAAAGCCCGGGGCUCAACCCCGGGUCUGCCGUGCGAACUGCCGGACUUGAGCACUGUAGAGGCAGACGGAAUUCCGGGUGUAGCGGUGGAAUGCGUAGAGAUCCGGAAGAACACCGGUGGCGAAGGCGGUCUGCUGGGCAGUUGCUGACACUGAGGCGCGACAGCGUGGGGAGCAAACAG
rnacentral:rRNA from 1 species